UACGUAGGUGGCAAGCGUUGUCCGGAUUUACUGGGCGUAAAGAGCGCGCAGGCGGUCGUUCAAGUCGCGUGUGAAAGCCCCCGGCUCAACUGGGGAGGGUCACGCGAUACUGAUCGACUCGAAGGCAGGAGAGGGUAGUGGAAUUCCCGGUGUAGUGGUGAAAUGCGUAGAUAUCGGGAGGAACACCAGUGGCGAAGGCGACUACCUGGCUGUUCUUGACGCUGAGGCGCGAAAGCUAGGGGAGCGAACAGG
rnacentral:rRNA from 1 species